rnacentral:lncRNA from 1 species
UGAGUUAGCUAAUUAGAAAGGGAUGAGAUCAAAUUGGCCUCCUAAAGAGCUAGGAUUUCACACGUGCUAGCAUACUUAUCGAGAAUUUUGAUUGAAUCCAAAAUUUCAAUCAAUUUUUUAAAAAGAUCUUUGGUUAAUUUUUAUAUAUGUGUGACUCAUUGGAUUCCACAUCUAGCCAGCAGUCGGUUUGGGUAUAAGUUGAUCAAAUUUGAUUAGAUUUCAAUCUAAUAGAUUUAGGUCCAAUCAUGCUAAUCCG